UACGGAGGAUGCGAGCGUUAUCCGGAUUUAUUGGGUUUAAAGGGUGCGUAGGCGGAGGCGAAAGUCAGAGGUGAAAGUUUGCAGCUCAACUGUAAAAUUGCCUUUGAAACUUCCCCUCUUGAGUAUACCGGAGGUAAGCGGAAUGUGUUGUGUAGCGGUGAAAUGCAUAGAUAUGACACAGAACUCCGAUUGCGAAGGCAGCUUACUAUAGUAUAACUGACGCUGAUGCACGAAAGCGUGGGUAUCAAACAGG
rnacentral:rRNA from 1 species